GCCAUCGGCCACACCAUGCUGAACACGCCGGUUCUUGUCCGAUCACCGAAGCUAAGCACCAUUAGGCUCGGUCAGUUCUUGGGAGGAAGACCACCUGGGAACACCGAGUGCUGAUGGCA
rnacentral:rRNA from 1 species